rnacentral:lncRNA from 1 species
GUCUGACGGUAUGAGAGAAGUAGCGUGGAAAGAGUGUUGGAUCUGGAGUUGGGAGAGACUUUGGUUCCAAUCAGCUAUAUGAUCCCAGGAAUUGUGCUAAAUGCUGGGGGCAAAAAUACAAGCAAAAAAAGAAAGAAAAGACCAACCUUCCAGGAGCUUACAUUCCAGCAGAGAAGAAUAACACAAAAGGGAAUUGAAAAGUGAGGAGACAGAAGAUACUUGCUGGGAGUUGGGUGUCAAAAUCCAAGGAGUCAAAAGUAUAAUUAAGAGGGGAAUGCAAGAUGACUUUCUUGGACCUGUCCCCAAUGUAGAGGUACCCAGAAGGAAUUCACCAAUGAGAGAUGGGAACCCAGAUCUUCUAAGAUGAGAAGACACCAGGAAUUUAGAAAUAUUCCAUGGUAAGAAGGUAACUAAGUCAUGGUGGAAAAGUUUGGUGAGUCAGAAGAGUACCUGGGAGAGGAAAUAUGAUCUAGGAGUGGAAUGGGUUGCCUUCUAGGAACAUCAAAUUGUUUCUAGCUACAUUCCAUAAAUCUUAUCAUGAGGUAUUGCUGUCAUCUUUAAUGUGUUUCUAUUUGUUUUUUUGUAAUUGGUAUUUCAACAAAGAAUUGUUUCUAUAAUAAUUCAUUUUGAUUCAUUUAGGCCUUUACAUUUUAUCAGAUUUUCUGCAUUGAUUAUGUGUGUGGGCAUAUGUGUAUA